rnacentral:rRNA from 1 species
AUUGAACGCUGGCGGCAGGCCUAACACAUGCAAGUCGAACGAGUGGCGGACGGGUGAGUAAUGUCUGGGAAACUGCCUGAUGGAGGGGGAUAACUACUGGAAACGGUAGCUAAUACCGCAUACCAUCAGAUGUGCCCAGAUGGGAUUAGCUAGUUGGUGGGGUAACGGCUCACCAAGGCGACGAUCCCUAGCUGGUCUGAGAGGAUGACCAGCAACACUGGACCUUAGAAACGGUCCAGAUCCCUACGGGAGGAAGCGGUGGGAAAUAUUGAACAUGGGGCGCAAGCCUGAUGCAGCCAUGCCGGGUGUAUGAAGAAGGCCUUCGGGUUGUAAAGUACUUUCAGCGGGGAGGCGUUACCCGCAGAAGAAGCACCGGCUAACUCCGUGCCAGCAGCCGCGGUAUUC